AAUGUAGGCUAUCAGUAAAAUGUUCCUUUCUAAUAUGUGUGGCCUCUGGUGCGCUGGGCACGGUUUCCCGCCUGUGUGCGUCCAAACCGCGGCUAGAUUCUCCCGCCUCCUGCCUCUCCCACCGCUGCCUCUCGUCUCCUCAGCUUUCAGCAGCAAUUGCCUCACACUUUUCUGAAUAGCAAUCAAACCAAAUGUUUUUCUUUUUAGAUUUCUUAGAAGAGUCAAUACUUUUCCUGCGUUCUUAUCAACGUCGGAAGUCGGUCGAUUUAUUUUAUGGAGGGUCAUUCCCAUGGCAUGAUAGAUUAUAAAAACGGCAGAUCUGCGCAAAAUUAGGUCAUUUGACAUUUGUGAUCUCAAAAACGUGAGUCAUAUACCCUUCCCUGGACAUCCCAUCAUUAAAGAUGUCCCAGGUCACGGCUGCGGAGGAGGGAGGCACCUUUGAGCACCUGUGGAGUUCCUUGGAGCCUGACACCACCUACUAUGAGAUGCCCCCGGGGGGCCAGUCGGGGGAGCGGCCGGUGCCCUCCACCAGCACCCCGGGGGGGCACCGGGGGGCCACCGAGGUCUGCAUGGACGUCUACCACAUGAGGGACCUGGAGGACGGC